UCCCUGGUGGUCUAGUGGUUAAGACUCUGUGCUUCCAAUGCAGGGGCACAGGUUCAAUCCCUGAUUGGGGAA